rnacentral:rRNA from 1 species
GAUGAACGCUGGCAGCGUGCCUAAUACAUGCAAGUUGAGCGAACGGACGAGAAGCUUGCUUCUCUGAUGUUAGCGGCGGACGGGUGAGUAACACGUGGAUAACCUACCUAUAAGACUGGGAUAACUUCGGGAAACCGGAGCUAAUACCGGAUAAUAUUUUGAACCGCAUGGUUCAAAAGUGAAAGACGGUCUUGCUGUCACUUAUAGAUGGAUCCGCGCUGCAUUAGCUAGUUGGUAAGGUAACGGCUUACCAAGGCAACGAUGCAUAGCCGACCUGAGAGGGUGAUCGGCCACACUGGAACUGAGACACGGUCCAGACUCCUACGGGAGGCAGCAGUAGGGAAUCUUCCGCAAAGGGCGAAAGCCUGACGGAGCAACGCCGCGUGAGUGAUGAGGGUCUUCGGAUCGUAAAACUCUGUUAUUAGGGAAGAACAUAUGUGUAAGUAACUGUGCACAUCUUGACGGUACCUAAUCAGAAAGCCACGGCUAACUACGUG